GCCUUCCGCAGGCCGUUUCCACCCAGGAGAAGGAAUCGUAUCGUAUGUCCGCUUUCCAGAACCUCCACUCUUUCGACCCCUUUGCUGAUGCAAGUUAAGGGUGAUGACCUGCUUCCUGCUGGCACUGAGGAUUAUAUCCGUAUAAGAAUUCAACGGAGAAACGGCAGCAAGACCCUGACUACCGUCCAAGGGAUCGCUGAUGAUUACGAUAAAAAGAAACUAAAACUAGUGACGGCGUUUAAGAAGCAGUUUGCCUGCAAUGGUGCUAUACAUGAGCACCCAGAAUGUAGAGAACUAAUUCAGCUACAGGGACCAGCGCAGGAACAUACACCAGUUCCUCCUAGGGACUGGACUGGCCAAGGACGAUCAGCUGAAGGUUCAUGGCUUCUAAGUGCUCGUGGCUCACUGAAGCUUGAGUGAGGAUUUCCUUGCAACGAGCAGAAUUUCCCUUCUGUCCCUUGUCACAAGUUUAAAAACCUCACAGCUUGUAUAAUGUAUCCAUCUGGGGUCCGCUUUUAGCUUGGACUAGUGUAACUCCAUGCAAUACACUGAAAAGAGCCAUGCUGUUUAGUCUUGAAGUCCCUCAUUUAAACAGAGGUCAGGCAGUAGGUGCCUGGUAGUGUCAAGCUUGAAACCAAGGAGUACCAUCAUGUUUCAGCCAAGCCCAGAGCCCUAAGAUCGCAGACAACCAUGGCCAGAAACUCCUCCGCUCUCCCUCUGCAGAGUUCCCUGCCCUAAGAGAAUGUGACCACCUGAACAGUCCUCAGUGAAUCUGAGAGGAGAGGAUGGGGUAAGGCAGCACCAGCAGCUGUACCACUAGAAGGGAGCCUUUAGUGGUAGAAGAUCCCGUGUUGUCUCCAGCCUGACCUGGUCAGAGCUCAGAGAGGUCCCCUUCCCUCUAGUGAGAUGAUAGGACAUCAGGCUUGCCACAAAGGUCUGUUUGACUACAUGUA